rnacentral:rRNA from 1 species
AGUUGGUGGAGUGAUUUGUCUGGUUAAUUCCGUUAACGAACGAGACCCCCGCCUGCUAAAUAGUGCGGCUUACGCUUUUGCGUAGGCGUACACUUCUUAGAGGGACUUUCGGUGACUAACCGAAGGAAGUUGGGGGCAAUAACAGG